rnacentral:rRNA from 1 species
GGACAACCUGCCCUUGGGUCCGGCAUAACCCCGGGAAACUGGGGAUAAUUCCGGAUAACGCACAUAUGCUGGAAUGCUUUAUGCGUCAAAUGGAUUCGUCUGCCCAAGGAUGGGUCUGCGGCCUAUCAGGUAGUAGUGGGUGUAAUGUACCUACUAGCCGACGACGGGUACGGGUUGUGAGAGCAAGAGCCCGGAGAUGGAUUCUGAGACAUGAAUCCAGGCCCUACGGGGCGCAGCAGGCGCGAAAACUUUACAAUGCGGGAAACCGUGAUAAGGGGACACCGAGUGCCAGCAUCAUAUGCUGGCUGUCCAGAUGUGUAAAAUACAUCUGUUAGCAAGGGCCGGGCAAGACCGGUGCCAGCCGCCGCGGUAACACCGGCGGCCCGAGUGGUGAUCGUGAUUAUUGGGUCUAAAGGGUCCGUAGCCGGUUUGGUCAGUCCUCCGGGAAAUCUGAUAGCUCAACUGUUAGGCUUUCGGGGAAUACUGCCAGACUUGGAACCGGGAGAGGUAAGANGUACUACAGGGGUAGGAGUGAAAUCUUGUAAUNCCCUGUGGGACCACCUGUGGCGAAAGGCGUCUUACCAGAACNGGUUCNACNGUGANGGGACCAAAGCUGGGGGCACCAAACCGGAUUANAUACCCCGGUAGUCCUAGCCGUAAACCAUGCUCGCUUAGGGGUCACAACAAUUCNUGAAUUGUUGGGGGGCCCGUAGGGAAACCNUGAAACCAGCCCCUUGGGAAGUCCANCCCCANGGUUGAAACUUAA